AAUGAACGCUGGCGGCAUGCCUAAUACAUGCAAGUCGAACGAGACGACGAGGAGUAUGCGCCUCUGAGUGCGUAACGGGACGGGAGCGUAACACAUGGUCAGAAUAACUAUCCGACGGGGGUAACAACAGGAAACAAGGGCUACUACCGGAAAAUAUAUUGACCCGGAUGGUUCCCUCGUGGAAUACGGUAUUUGUGUGACUAAAAGAUUACCACGCGCAGCAUUAGCUAGUUGGUAAGGUAACGGCUUACCAAGGCAACGAUGGGUACCCGACCUGAGAGGGUGAUCGGCCACACUGGAACUGAGACACGGUCCAGACUCCUACGGGAGGCAGCAGUAGGGAAUCUUCCGCAAUGGGCGAAAGCUUGACGGAGCAACGCCGCGUGAGUGAUGAAGGUCUUCGGAUCGUAAAACUCUGUUAUUAGGGAAGAACAAAUGUGUAAGUAACUAUGCACGUCUUGACGGUACCUAAUCAGAAAGCCACGGCUAACUACGUG
rnacentral:rRNA from 1 species